UACAGAGGUCUCAAGCGUUGUUCGGAUUCAUUGGGCGUAAAGGGUGCGUAGGUGGCGCGGUAAGUCGGGGUGUGAAAUCUCGGAGCUUAACUCCGAAAUUGCAUUCGAUACGGGCAGGCUCGAGUUCGGUAGGGGAGACUGGAAUUCCUGGUGUAGCGGUGAAAUGCGCAGAUAUCAGGAGGAACACCGGUGGCGAAGGCGGGUCUCUGGGCAGUAACUGACGCUGGAGGAGCGAAAGCGUGGGGAGCGAACAGG
rnacentral:rRNA from 1 species